GCAGCCUGAGACAAGGCUGUGAGUGUGUGUGGGACCGGCUGAGGACUCUGUGUACCUAGAGUUUGCUUUGUAACUGACUGCGUGUGCUUGCGUGUGGGUUCGGGAGCAAAUGCAGGGGGGUGAACGAGUGUGAGAGAGGGAGAGAAAGAUGAGAGUGGAAAAAAUAUGUACGGAGGAAAGACUGAUUAUUCUGGAAGUUAACUCAUAUUGCACUCAAGAAGGGACUCAAGAUUUUGGAAGCUACUUUUUAAUAGGAAAAAAACAUUUUUGGUCACUAAAAUCGCUAUUCUUAAAACAGCAAGUGGGCUCUGGUGACCUUACAGUGAGGGAACGCCACGCGAGUUUGACUGACGAAGAUACACGCUGAUGGAGAAGUGAAAGUCGUUCGGCUCUGACCCCGAACAAUGAGCUCCGACAGACAGCCGCCAUCAUGGAAAUGUCACGGCCAACAUCAGAGACCUGGCAGCCUCCUCUUUCAUUCCCUUAAUCCACAAUCCCUCCUCUCCUCUCCUGAGCUGCAUACAUAUUCAGCAGCUCAAGUCCUCACCAUUCUAAUGAGGGCUAGACCAGCGGGCUAUGAAAGAGAGGAGAGAUACGGGGAGGGUGGGUGAGUGAGUGGGGGGUUUAAAAGAAAGGAGAGACCGUCUUUGAACUCCCAAAGAAAGAGAGAGAAUGAUGAGAGAUGAGGAUGAAUAGAUAGAUGGCUGAAGUGAUGAGAGAAGGAGUGAGAGGAGAGACAGAUCAAAUGUAAAGAUCUGUGGUCUUUACACAGCAGGGUUAGUUGUGUUUGAUUUAAAUGCUGCUUUAAGAGAGCGUCCUGUUAUAUUUCAUCACUUGAUUCACUUGAGACACUUAAGGCUGAAGUGUGUCUUUAUGUUUGAUCUAUUCCAGUUUAAAAUGACAGUUCUAUCAUCAUUCAUGUUGUUUCAAACCUGUAUGACUUCAUUUGUUCUAAAAGUUGUUGAGCAGAACAUUCACGCCACGCUGUUCUGUACUUAUGUGACCAAUGGUUAGGAAUGACAUAAGAGUGAUUUUAUUUUUCAAUGAGUAUGCAGAGACACUUCUAGUUUAAGGCAGAUCUUUUGGUUUGUCUGACCAAUUGCAGAUGUGGAGAGUUUGGAAAGAUUAUUUUUGCAGUUUCUUUUGGCACAAGUACAAGAAAAACGAGACAGACCAAUGAAAAAAAGAAAGCAAUAACUUAAAAAGUUCAAUAAUAUUCGGAGGUAGUAAAGAAAUCUAAAAUUGACAUUUAUGCAUUUAACGGAAGCUAUUAUCCAAAGCGACUUACAAAAGAGAGCAAAAGCAGUUCAUCAAAGACAGAUUCCAAAUUAUUGUCACCUGUCUGAUUAGGCAAAUUGUAGGCGUAUUUUAGAAACAGGAAAAUAUCAAAAUACCAAAGCUGCUUUUAGAAAAUGAAAAAAAAAAAUUGUAGGCAAAUUUGAUCUUUUAUAAUUUAAUCUUUAUUCACUAUUGUGCCAUAUUUCAAAU
rnacentral:lncRNA from 1 species